GAAAGUUGCGCGCACUGACGGAAUAGUGCGUUAAAGGGUGUAGAUAUAUUUUUUCCAGGGAAAUCCAGAGAGAAUGUCGAACCUGAUAGUACUCUGAGGCUACGGCCAAUGAGAUAGUCAACCUAAUCAUGCCCCCUAGAAAAGUUCCUAAGCUUAACUAUAAUGGAGCCCGUACCGCAAACCGACACAGGUGGUCAAGGAGAGAAUCCUGAGGUGCUCGAGUGAAUCACGGCUAAGGAACUCGGCAAAUUAACCCUGUAACUUCGGGAUAAGGGGAGCCCCUAGCAAUAGGGGUCGCAGAGAAAUGGCCCAGGCGACUGUUUAACAAAAACACAUGGCUAUGCGAAACCGUAAGGUUAUGUAUAUGGCCUGACACCUGCCCGGUGCUGGAAGGUUAAGGGGGGGCGUCAUCGCAAGAGAAGCGCUGAACUGAAGCCCCAGUAAACGGCGGCCGUAACUAUAACGGUCCUAAGGUAGCGAAAUUCCUUGUCGGGUAAGUUCCGACCUGCACGAAUGGUGUAACGAUCUGGGCGCUGUCUCGGCCGUGAGCUCGGUGAAAUUGAAGUAGCGGUGAAGAUGCCGCUUACCCGCAAUGGGACGAAAGACCCCGUGCACCUUCACUACAGCUUUACGCUGGCCUUGGACAAACGAUGUGUAGCAUAGGUGGGAGGCUUUGAUCCUGUGCCGCUAGGUAUAGGGGAGCCAACGUUGAAAUACCACCCUUUGUUUGUUUGGGGCCUAACCCCUUAAAGGGGACACCGUAUGGCGGGUAGUUUGACUGGGGUGGUCGCCUCCAAAAGAGUAACGGAGGCUUUCAAAGGUGCCCUCAGUACGCUUGGUAACCGUACGGGGAGUGCAAUGGCACAAGGGCGCUUGACUGCGAGACAAACAGGCCGAACAGGCACGAAAGUGGGACAUAGUGAUCCGGUGGUCCCGCAUGGGUGGGCCAUCGCUCAAAGGAUAAAAGGUACGCCGGGGAUAACAGGCUGAUCUCCCCCAAGAGCUCACAUCGACGGGGAGGUUUGGCACCUCGAUGUCGGCUCGUCACAUCCUGGGGCUGGAGAAGGUUCCAAGGGUUGGGCUGUUCGCCCAUUAAAGUGGCACGCGAGCUGGGUUCAGAACGUCGUGAGACAGUUCGGUCCCUAUCUAUUGCGGGCGUUGGAGAUUUGAGAGGACCUGACCUUAGUACGAGAGGACCGGGUUGGACCAACCACUGGUGCACCAGUUGUCCCGCCAGGGGCAGCGCUGGGUAGCCACGUUGGGUAGUGAUAAGCGCUGAAAGCAUCUAAGUGCGAAGCACACCUCAAGAUGAGAUCUCCUUUGAGAGCCGUCAGAGACGAUGACGUCGAUAGGCUGCAAGUGUAGCACCGGUAACGGGAGAGCUGAGCAGUACUAAUAGCCC
rnacentral:rRNA from 1 species